ACUAAAACCUAAUCCUAAAUACGACUGAAUCAUCAUUACCGCAAGCUUUUAACCCUAUCCUUUCAUUUUCAAAUUAUGAAUUCAUCAUGUGCAGAAUCCACCUUUUUUCGAAAGAUAAUCUUUUCAACACCGGCUGAUUCUCAUCCCAAAAUCGAAUGAUUGUUGUUUUGAUUCUGCCCCUUAACACAAAUCAUUCGAUUUUGGAAUGAACAAAAGUUGCACCCGAUGCACCAGAUACACCUUGAGAACACGGUUCAUCGGAUGGAACAUCGCCAUUGUAAAUUUCAAAGCCAAGCGGAAGGAACAUUGGAUUGGCGUUUGUUUUUUUUUUUUCGAUUUUAAGAAAAACUAAAAAAACACCUUCAUUUAAAGAAUAAAGUUCUGCAACACAUCGUAGUCGGGCCGGGACCAUUCCAGGUGCUAUCAUUCUAGAGGAAUCUAGUGUUGCAGGUGUUUUGGUCUUAUUGCAAACGACGCAUCACAAAAAAUUGCUUGGUUUCGAUUACUGCAACGCAACAGGGCCAGGAUGGUUAGAACAAGGCUCAGAACGCUUCUUGAGAUCAGUGCACAGUUUUAUACCUCAAACGGAAUGCAUCGAAUCAGCGCCAGAAGCAGUUGUAAAAGAAACUGUUUGAACGUGUUUUCCAAUUGACUAUUUCAUCGCCCUUUCACUGUGUUCUGUUUGAGGCCAACAAUGUAAAAAACGUGAUAAACGUAUUUAAUUUAUUUGCAAUAAAUUUUCUUUAAAAUGUGUCACUCA